GACGGAGGAUGCAAGUGUUAUCCGGAAUCACUGGGCGUAAAGCGUCUGUAGGUGGUGGAAUAAGUCAACUGUCAAAUCUUGAGGCUCAACUUCAAAAUUGCAGUCGAAACUAUUCCACUCGAGUAUAGUAGGGGUAAAGGGAAUUUCCAGUGGAGCGGUGAAAUGCGUAGAGAUUGGAAAGAACACCGAUGGCGAAGGCACUUUACUGGGCUAUUACUGACACUGAGAGACGAAAGCUAGGGUAGCAAAUGGG
rnacentral:rRNA from 1 species